UGGCAGUUCUCAAAUUUAGGUCUCAGGACUUCUUUACACUCUUAAAAAGCAUUGAGGGACAUGACCACAAAACAUUUUCCCAAUAGGUUUUCUUUCUGCUAUGUUGGUAGCAUUCAGCCUAUUGGGAACAUUU
rfam:Myotis davidii contig173318, whole genome shotgun sequence.